rnacentral:rRNA from 1 species
AGAGUUUGAUCAUGGCUCAGGACGAACGCUGGCGGCGUGCUUAACACAUGCAAGUCGAACGGUGACCCAGGGCUUGCCCUGGUGAUCAGUGGCGAACGGGUGAGUAACACGUGGGCAACCUGCCCCUGACUUCGGGAUAACUCCUCGAAAGAGGAGCUAAUACCGGAUACGACCACUUCGGACAUCCGAUGGUGGUGGAAAGUUCUUCGGUCAGGGAUGGGCCCGCGGCCUAUCAGCUAGUUGGUGGGGUAAUGGGCCUACCAAGGCGACGACGGGUAGCCGGCCUGAGAGGGCGACCGGCCACACUGGGACUGAGACACGGCCCAGACUCCUACGGGAGGCAGCAGUGGGGAAUAUUGCGCAAUGGCGAAAGCCUGACGCAGCGACGCCGCGUGAGGGAUGAAGGCCUUCGGGUUGUAAACCUCUUUCAGCGGGGACGAAGCGAAAGUGACGGUACCUGCAGAAGAAGCACCGGCUAACUACGUG